GUGAGGAUAAUACACACACACACACACACACACACACACACACACGCUGUAUUAAGACCAUACUUGUGUCCCCAGUCCUAGUUUUUUGUCUAGGUCUGGAUUUAUAAAUGCUGGAGAUGAAC